UCCUGGUGGUUCAGAUGGUAAAGAGUCUGCCUGCAGUGCAGGAGACCCAGGUUCAAUUCCUGGGUCAGGAA
rnacentral:tRNA from 1 species